AGCGAACGCUGGCGGCAGGCCUAACACAUGCAAGUCGAACGAACUCUUCGGAGUUAGUGGCGGACGGGUGAGUAACACGUGGGAACGUGCCUUUAGGUUCGGAAUAACUCAGGGAAACUUGUGCUAAUACCGAAUGUGCCCUUCGGGGGAAAGAUUUAUCGCCUUUAGAGCGGCCCGCGUCUGAUUAGCUAGUUGGUGAGGUAAAGGCUCACCAAGGCGACGAUCAGUAGCUGGUCUGAGAGGAUGAUCAGCCACAUUGGGACUGAGACACGGCCCAAACUCCUACGGGAGGCAGCAGUGGGGAAUCUUGCGCAAUGGGCGAAAGCCUGACGCAGCCAUGCCGCGUGAAUGAUGAAGGUCUUAGGAUUGUAAAAUUCUUUCACCGGGGACGAUAAUGACGGUACCCGGAGAAGAAGCCCCGGCUAACUUCGAG
rnacentral:rRNA from 1 species